rnacentral:rRNA from 1 species
UUGGAGGGCAAGUCUGGUGCCAGCAGCCGCGGUAAUUCCAGCUCCAAUAGCGUAUAUUAAAGUUGUUGCAGUUAAAAAGCUCGUAGUUGAAUUUCGGGGUCAGUAGGUCGGUCGUGCCACUGGUAUGAACUGGUUUUACUGAUUCCUCCCUCUUGAAGAACUGUAAUGCCAUUAAUUUGGUGUUGCAGGGAAUCAGGACUGUUACUUUGAAAAAAUUAGAGUGUUUAAAGCAGGCUUUAGCUUGAAUACAUUAGCAUGGAAUAAUGAAAUAGGACGUUUGAUCCUAUUUUGUUGGUUUCUAGGAUUGACGUAAUGAUUAAUAGGGAUAGUUGGGGGCAUUAGUAUUCAAUUGUCAGAGGUGAAAUUCUUGGAUUUAUUGAAGACUAACUACUGCGAAAGCAUUUGCCAAGGAUGUUUUCAUUAAUCAAGAACGUAAGUUAGGGGAUCGAAGACGAUCAGAUACCGUCGUAGUCUUAACCAUAAACUAUGCCGACUAGGGAUCGGAUGAUGUUAAUUUUUUAAUGACUCAUUCGGCGCCUUACGGGAAAC